UCGGGAUAACACCUGGAAACAGAUGCUAAUACCGGAUAAUAACAGAUGAUGCCUAUCAACUGUUUAAAAGAUGGUUCUGCUAUCACUCUUGGAUGGACCUGCGGUGCAUUAGCUAGUUGGUAGGGUAACGGCCUACCAAGGCGAUGAUGCAUAGCCGAGUUGAGAGACUGAUCGGCCACAUUGGGACUGAGACACGGCCCAAACUCCUACGGGAGGCAGCAGAC
rnacentral:rRNA from 1 species